rnacentral:rRNA from 1 species
GAGAUGAUGGGGUUGAUAGGCCGGAAGUGGAAGCGCAGUAAUGUGUGGAGCUGACCGGUACUAAUAGGCCGAGGACUUGACCAUGA